UCCUAGCUUGCUAGGAUGGAUUAGUGGCGCACGGGUGAGUAAUAUAUAGUUAAUCUGCCCUACACAGAGGAACAACAGUUGGAAACGGCUGCUAAUACCUCAUACUCCUAUUUGACAUAAGUUAAAUAGGGAAAGUCUUUUCGGUGUAGGAUGAGACUAUAUCGUAUCAGCUAGUUGGUAAGGUAAUGGCUUACCAAGGCUAUGACGCGUAACUGGUCUGAGAGGAUGAUCAGUCACAUUGGAACUGAGACACGGUCCAAACUCC
rnacentral:rRNA from 1 species